rnacentral:rRNA from 1 species
UCGGCAAUAUACCGCCGGUGGCUAAGCGAAAGUAUUAAGUGAUCCACCUGGGGAGUACGAUCGCAAGGUUGAAACUCAAAGGAAUUGACGGGGGCCCGCACAAGCGGAGGAGCAUGUGGUUUAAUUCGAUGAUACGCGAGGAACCUUACCUGGGCUAGAACCGGCGCUGAAUAUCUGUGAAAGCAGAUAGUCCUUCGGGACGGCGUUGGAGGUGCUGCAUGGUUGUCGUCAGCUCGUGCCGUGAGGUGUCGGAUUAAGUUCCAUAACGAGCGCAACCCCUACUGUUAGUUGCCAGCAUGUAAUGAUGGGGACUCUAGCAGAACUGCCGGCGCAAGCCGAGAGGAAGGUGGGGAUGACGUCAAAUCAGCACGGCCCUUAUGUCCAGGGCUACACACGUGCUACAAUGGUCGGUACAGAGGGCAGCUACUUGGCAACAAGAUGCGAAUCUCCAAAACCGGUCUCAGUUCGGAUCGAAGUCUGCAACUCGACUUCGUGAAGUUGGAUUCGCUAGUAAUCGCGCAUCAGCCAUGGCGCGGUGAAUACGUUCCCGGGCCUUGUACACACCGCCCGUCAAGCCAUGGAAGCUGGGGGUACCUGAAGUUCACGACCCACAAGGAGUGACCUAGGGUAAAACUAGUGACUGGGGCUAAGUCGUAACAAGGUAGCCGUA